CAUGCCGGUAGUUUCACAGAAGGGGAAGCAAAAUGUCGGAAUCGGAUGGGAGGGCCUCUUAUUGUGUUCCUUAAAGAAAAAUGUUUCGUGCCUCGUUUUAAAGUGAACAAAAACACUGUGGCGGGUUUUAGCAGCUCAUCAGCUUUGGGAUUCAUCAGCCAGCUCAUCUCUGCACUAUGAAGAUGGGAACAGAUGGACAGGCUGAAAAGGACAAAGGAGAAAUUGUUCCAGGCAAGUCACAAUCUGAACAAUGUCCUAAUGAAGAGGAGGAAGUGGAGUCUAAAGCAGACAGAAGGACAGUUGGCUUAAGAUGUUUCCAAGGAAACAGAGAGACCUCGGAGGAUGAGCCUAGUGAACUGGUAAAAUUAUUUAGGCGAUUUGCAUAA
rnacentral:lncRNA from 1 species